rnacentral:rRNA from 1 species
UACGGAGGAUGCGAGCGUUAUCCGGAUUUAUUGGGUUUAAAGGGUGCGUAGGCGGAGUGUCAAGUCAGCGGUAAAAUUUCGGGGCUCAACCCCGUCGUGCCGUUGAAACUGACACCCUUGAGUGAGUGAGAAGUAAGCGGAAUGCGUGGUGUAGCGGUGAAAUGCUUAGAUAUCACGAAGAACCCCGAUUGCGAAGGCAGCCUGCCGCAGCGUUACUGACGCUGAAGCUCGAAAGCGCGGGUAUCGAACAGG